rnacentral:rRNA from 1 species
AGAGUUUGAUUAUGGCUCAGGAUGAACGCUAGCUACAGGCUUAACACAUGCAAGUCGAGGGGUAGCAGGGUAGCAAUACCGCUGACGACCGGCGCACGGGUGAGUAACACGUAUCCAACCUUCCCAUAACUCAGGGAUAGCCUUUCGAAAGAAAGAUUAAUACCUGAUAGUACUUUUUCAAGGCAUCUUGAGAAAGUUAAAGAUUUAUUGGUUAUGGAUGGGGAUGCGUUCCAUUAGAUAGUUGGUGAGGUAACGGCUCACCAAGUCUUCGAUGGAUAGGGGUUCUGAGAGGAAGGUCCCCCACAUUGGUACUGAGACACGGACCAAACUCCUACGGGAGGCAGCAGUGAGGAAUAUUGGUCAAUGGGUGAGAGCCUGAACCAGCCAAGUAGCGUGAAGGAUGAAGGUCCUAUGGAUUGUAAACUUCUUUUAUAGUAGAAUAAAGUGAUCCACGUGUGGAUUUUUGUAUGUAUACUAUGAAUAAGGAUCGGCUAACUCCGUGCCAGCCGCUGC